GAUUCAAUAAUUUCCCCAAUUCGAAUUCCAAUAAAUUGAGAUUUUGUAAGUUUUUGGCAUGGUCCAUGGAUCCUGAUGCUGCAAAGACCACAAGAGAAUCUCUGGAUUUGGCAUUUCGCAUAUCAAACAUUAUGGACACAGGACUUGAUCGACAAGUGCUGUCGGUGCUCAUUGCUUUGUGUGACUUCGGUUUAAAUCCUGAGGCAUUGGCUGCUGUCAUAAAAGAACUCACAAGAGAAUGCUCUAGCUCUCUACCAACCCCUAGUGCUCUUUCAUCUGUCCCAUAAAUAGUUUUCUAGCAUUACCAAUGUUAUCUUUCUUUGCUUUCCCAUGGUUGUAUAUGCUGUCCAUAGAUAAGUUUCUUUUCCAUAGUUGUGUAUGCUGACUGGUCUCAUGUUGUUUAGGAAAUACUGAAAAUUGAACCAUUUGAUUUUGUCUUAUGGAAUAACGGAAAAUGCAAGCUUUGAACUGUAGUAUGGUUUUUUAGCUAUACCUAUGAUCGAAGAUAUCAUCUAC
rnacentral:misc_RNA from 1 species